AUGAGUCUGAAACUGUUGUUGAGGGGAAUGCUGGCUGGUUCGAGACCAAUAUUAGUGGUCUGCAGCAAGCGAAGAACAUGAGCACCUGAAUGAUGAUCUCGGACCAGGCUUCAUUCCCCCCAAUACUAAACUUUCAUUCAU
rnacentral:pre_miRNA from 1 species